rnacentral:rRNA from 1 species
GAUGAACGCUGGCGGCGUGCUUAACACAUGCAAGUCGAACGGAAAGGCUCCUGCUUGCAGGGGUACUCGAGUGGCGAACGGGUGAGUAACACGUGGGUGAUCUGCCUUGCACUUCGGGAUAAGCCUGGGAAACUGGGUCUAAUACCGGAUAGGACGAUGGUUUGGAUGCCAUUGUGGAAAGUUUUUCGGUGUGGGAUGAGCUCGCGGCCUAUCAGCUUGUUGGUGGGGUAAUGGCCUACCAAGGCGUCGACGGGUAGCCGGCCUGAGAGGGUGUACGGCCACAUUGGGACUGAGAUACGGCCCAGACUCCUACGGGAGGCAGCAGUGGGGAAUAUUGCACAAUGGGCGCAAGCCUGAUGCAGCGACGCCGCGUGGGGGAUGACGGCCUUCGGGUUGUAAACUCCUUUCGCUAGGGACGAAGCGCAAGUGACGGUACCUGGAGAAGAAGCACCGGCUAACUACGUG